rnacentral:rRNA from 1 species
UACGUAGGGGGCAAGCGUUGUCCGGAUUUACUGGGCGUAAAGAGCGUGUAGGCGGCCAAACAGGUCCGUUGUGAAAACUGGAGGCUUAACCUCCAGACGUCGACGGAAACCGUAUGGCUAGAGUCCGGAAGAGGAGAGUGGAAUUCCUGGUGUAGCGGUGAAAUGCGCAGAUAUCAGGAAGAACACCCGUGGCGAAAGCGGCUCUCUGGAACGGUACUGACGCUGAGACGCGAAAGCGUGGGGAGCGAACAGG